rnacentral:rRNA from 1 species
UGUGCGGACGGGAUAAGUGCUGAAAGCAUCUAAGCAUGAAGCCCCCCUCAAGAUGAGAUUUCCCAUUCCGCAAGGAAGUAAGAUCCCUGAAAGAUGAUCAGGUUGAUAGGUCUGAGGUGGAAGCGUGGUGACACGUGGAGCUGACAGAUACUAAUAGAUCGAGGACUUAACCUAUA